CUGUAUUCACAGAAAGCAGCAGUGCAGCAUAUAAGAAGGAGAAAAUCCAAUGUUGAAGGGCCUAUUUGGAAAAACUACAGUGCUACGGGAAAAACUGUUACAAGAAGGCUCUCCCGACCAGCUAAGAUAAAUACUCUGCAAGAAAUCCUUCACCAUGACUACUGGUUGACCAGUGAUGCCAUGGAUCAAGCCAGCUACCUCAUGGCCAAGGAUCAUGACCACAUUGACGGAUUUCAAUCGGUUUUACCGUUUAGCGCAAUUGCACAAGGAGGGAUUGUGGGGACUCCUGAAAAGAAAUUUGUUCAGAUGUUGAACAUCAGACAGAGCCACUGGAUAACAGUCAGCAAUUUGUUUUGCAAUGACACUCAACUCGCCGUUUAUGACAGCCUACGUAGCCCUCUGGACCCAAGAACACUGCAGGCACUGUCCUGGCUGCUAAGCAAAUUUGAGUAACUGUGGGGUGUUUGCAAUAGCCUUUGCAUAUGCAUUAUGCAAGGGUCAUCAACCAGAACAGUGCAUAUUCAAUGAAGGCAGGAUGAGGGCACAGCUGUACAAGUCAUUCACAAGGAACAACAUCACAUUUCGAAUGAAUGUUGAAGACAGAGAAGCUCAGUCAAACAUCACAACAACUACAGUACCAGUAUACUGUGUUUGCAGAACAGCUCAUUACAAAGAGAUGAUGGUGCAGUGUUCAC
ensembl:lncRNA